rnacentral:rRNA from 1 species
AAGUCCCGUAACGAGCGCAACCCCUGUUCUUAGUUACCAGCGGAUAAUGCCGGGGACUCUAGGAAGACUGCCGGUGCCAAACCGGAGGAAGGUGGGGACGACGUCAAGUCAUCAUGGUCCUUACGUCUAGGGCUACACACGUGCUACAAUGGGCCGGACAGUGGGGGCCGAGGCAGCAAUGCCAAGGCAAUCCCAAAACCGGUCCUCAGUUCGGAUUGUCGUCUGCAACUCGACGGCAUGAAGCUGGAAUCGCUAGUAAUCGUGGAUCAGCAUCACCACGGUGAAUACGUUCCCGGGCCUUGUACACACCGCCCGU